UUUAUGGAGAGUUUGAUCCUGGCUCAGGAUGAACGCUGGCGGCGUGCCUAAUACAUGCAAGUCGAGCGAACAGAUAAGGAGCUUGCUCCUUUGACGUUAGCGGCGGACGGGUGAGUAACACGUGGGUAACCUACCUAUAAGACUGGAAUAACUCCGGGAAACCGGGGCUAAUGCCGGAUAACAUGUUGAACCGCAUGGUUCUACAGUGAAAGACGGUUUUGCUGUCACUUAUAGAUGGACCCGCGCCGUAUUAGCUAGUUGGUGGGGUAACGGCCUACCAAGGCGACGAUACGUAGCCGACCUGAGAGGGUGAUCGGCCACACUGGAACUGAGACACGGUCCAGACUCCUACGGGAGGCAGCAGUAGGGAAUCUUCCGCAAUGGGCGAAAGCCUGACGGAGCAACGCCGCGUGAGUGAUGAAGGUCUUCGGAUCGUAAAGCUCUGUUGUUAGGGAAGAACAAAUGUGUAAGUAACUGUGCACAUCUUGACGGUACCUAACCAGAAAGCCACGGCUAACUACGUGCCAGCAGCCGCGGUAAUACGU
rnacentral:rRNA from 1 species